rnacentral:misc_RNA from 1 species
CCAAACUUGGUCAUUUAGAGGAAGUAAAAGUCGUAACAAGGUUUUCGUAGGUGAACCUGCGGAAGGAUCAUUACCGAAGUCUGGGGGAGUGCUGGCACUCUGUGCAUGUGCACCCUCCUUCCUUCAUCCACACACACCCGUGCACUUUUUGAGGCGGGGCUUCCCAGAGCCCGGCCAGUCCUUUGGCCGUGGUGGGAAGACCUGCCUACCCUUUCCACAAACUCUUUGUAUGACUUGGAACGUAGUGGCGGCUAGACCGCAAAACCAAUACACAACUUUCAACAACGGAUCUCUUGGUUCUCGCAUCGAUGAAGAACGCAGC